UACGUAUGGUGCAAGCGUUAUCCGGAUUUACUGGGUGUAAAGGGAGCGCAGGCGGCACGGCAAGCCUGAUGUGAAAGCCCGCGGCCCAACCGCGGGACUGCAUUGGGAACUACCGGGCUGGAGUGCCGGAGAGGUAGGCGGAAUUCCUAGUGUAGCGGUGAAAUGCGUAGAUAUUAGGAGGAACACCAGUGGCGAAGGCGGUCUACUGGACGGUGACUGACGCUGAGGCUCGAAAGCGUGGGGAGCAAACAGG
rnacentral:rRNA from 1 species